AUAUCAAUAAGCGGAGGAAAAGAAACCAACAGGGAUUGCCCCAGUAACGGCGAGUGAAGCGGCAACAGCUCAAAUUUGAAAUCUGGCCCCCGGGCCCGAGUUGUAAUUUGCAGAGGAUGCUUCGGGCGCGGCGCCUCCCAAGUCCCCUGGAACGGGGCGCCUGAGAGGGUGAGAGCCCCGUACGGUUGGACGCCUAGCCCUUGUGAAGCUCCUUCGACGAGUCGAGUAGUUUGGGAAUGCUGCUCAAAAUGGGAGGUAGACCCCUUCUAAAGCUAAAUACCGGCCAGAGACCGAUAGCGCACAAGUAGAGUGAUCGAAAGAUGAAAAGCACUUUGAAAAGAGGGUUAAACAGCACGUGAAAUUGUUGAAGGGGAAGCGCUUGUGACCAGACCUGCGCCGGGGCGAUCAUCCGGCGUUCUCGCCGGUGCACUCGCCCCGGCUCAGGCCAGCGUCGGUUCGGGCGGGGGGAGAAAUGCGCCGGGAACGUGGCUCCCCCGGGAGUGUUAUAGCCCGGCGCGUCAUGUCCCCGCCUGGACCGAGGUUCGCGCUCUGCAAGGACGCUGGCGUAAUGGUCACCAGCGGCCCGUCUUGAAACACGGACCAAGGAGUCGAGGUUCUGCGCGAGUGUCUGGGUGCCAAACCCGCACGCGCAAUGAAAGUGAACGUAGGUGGGAGCUUCGGCGCACCACCGACCGAUCCUGAUGUUCUCGGAUGGAUUUGAGUAGGAGCGUAGGGCCUCGGACCCGAAAGGUAAGCACCAACCCCCCGAUCCUGCUCCGCGGGAGGCCCGUACUAACAGUGUGGCAGAUGGUGAACUAUGCUUGGAUAGGGUGAAGCCAGAGGAAACUCUGGUGGAGGCUCGCAGCGGUUCUGACGUGCAAAUCGAUCGUCAAAUCUGAGCAUGGGGGCGAAAGACUAAUCGAACCAUCUAGUAGCUGGUUACCGCCGAAGUUUCCCUCAGGAUAGCAGUGUUGUAUUCAGUUUUAUGAGGUAAAGCGAAUGAUUAGGGACUCGGGGGCGCUAUUUUGCCUUCAUCCAUUCUCAAACUUUAAAUAUGUAAGAAGCCCCUGUUGCUUAGUUGAACGGGGGCCUUCGAAUGCACCAACACUAGUGGGCC
rnacentral:rRNA from 1 species